rnacentral:rRNA from 1 species
CCCUUAGAUGUUCUGGGCCGCACGCGCGCUACAAUGAUGCAGGCAACGAGUGCCGCUCCUUAGCCGAAAGGCUUGGGGAAUCUUGAAAACUGCAUCGUGCUAGGGAUAGAUGAUUGCAAUCGUGCAUCUUGAACGAGGAAUGCCUUGUAAGCGUGAGUCAUCAACUCGCGCUGAAUACGUCCCUGCCCUUUGUACACACCGCCCGUCGCUCCUACCGAUUGGAUGGUCCGGUGAACUGGUCGGACUGCUGUUUGAAAUUGCGGGUGCAGUUGAUUCACGGGAAGUCUAGUAAACCUUAUCAUCUAGAGGAAGUAAAAGUCGUAACA